rnacentral:piRNA from 1 species
UGAUGAGAUUGUCAACAUUGCCCGGCAG